rnacentral:rRNA from 1 species
CGGGUGAGUAACACGUAUCCAACCUGCCGAUAACUCCGGAAUAGCCUUUCGAAAGAAAGAUUAAUACCGGAUAGCAUACGAAUAUCGCAUGAUAUUUUUAUUAAAGAAUUUCGGUUAUCGAUGGGGAUGCGUUCCAUUAGUUUGUUGGCGGGGUAACGGCCCACCAAGACUACGAUGGAUAGGGGUUCUGAGAGGAAGGUCCCCCACAUUGGAACUGAGACACGGUCCAAACUCCUACGGGAGGCAGCAGUGAGGAAUAUUGGUCAAUGGGCGAGAGCCUGAACCAGCCAAGUAGCGUGAAGGAUGAAGGCUCUAUGGGUCGUAAACUUCUUUUAUAUGGGAAUAAAGUUUUCCACGUGUGGAAUUUUGUAUGUACCAUAUGAAUAAGGAUCGGCUAACUCCGUGCCAGCAGCCGCGGUAAUACGGAGGAUCCGAGCGUUAUCCGGAUUUAUUGGGUUUAAAGGGAGCGUAGGUGGAUUGUUAAGUCAGUUGUGAAAGUUUGCGGCUCAACCGUAAAAUUGCAGUUGAAACUGGCAGUCUUGAGUACAGUAGAGGUGGGCGGAAUUCGUGGUGUAGCGGUGAAAUGCUUAGAUAUCACGAAGAACUCCGAUUGCGAAGGCAGCUCACUAGACUGUCACUGACACUGAUGCUCGAAAGUGUGGGUAUCAAACAGGAUUAGAUACCCUGGUAGUCCACACAGUAAACGAUGAAUACUCGCUGUUUGCGAUAUACAGUAAGCGGCCAAGCGAAAGCAUUAAGUAUUCCACCUGGGGAGUACGCCGGCAACGGUGAAACUCAAAGGAAUUGACGGGGGCCCGCACAAGCGGAGGAACAUGUGGUUUAAUUCGAUGAUACGCGAGGAACCUUACCCGGGCUUAAAUUGCAACAGAAUAUAUUGGAAACAGUAUAGCCGUAAGGCUGUUGUGAAGGUGCUGCAUGGUUGUCGUCAGCUCGUGCCGUGAGGUGUCGGCUUAAGUGCCAUAACGAGCGCAACCCUUAUCUUUAGUUACUAACAGGUCAUGCUGAGGACUCUAGAGAGACUGCCGUCGUAAGAUGUGAGGAAGGUGGGGAUGACGUCAAAUCAGCACGGCCCUUACGUCCGGGGCUACACACGUGUUACAAUGGGGGGUACAGAAGGAGGGUACCUGGUGACAGGAUGCUAAUCCCAAAAACCUCUUUAAGUUGGGAUCGAAGUCUGCAACCCGACUUCGUGAAGCUGGAUCGCUAGUAAUCGCGC